UGGGGGAUAUUGCACAAUGGGCGAAAGCCUGAUGCAGCGACGCCGCGUGGGGGAUGAAGGCUUUCGGGUUGUAAACCUCUUUCGCUAUCGAACAAGGCCCGCUUAGGGUGGGUUGAGGGUAGGUGGAGAAGAAGCGCCGGCUAACUACGUGCCAGCAGCCGCGGUAAUACGUAGGGCGCGAGCGUUGUCCGGAAUUAUUGGGCGUAAAGGGCUUGUAGGCGGCUUGUUGCGCCUGCUGUGAAAACGCGGGGCUUAACUUCGCGCGUGCAGUGGGUACGGGCAGGCUUGAGUGUGGUAGGGGUGACUGGAAUUCCAGGUGUAGCGGUGGAAUACGCAGAUAUCUGGAGGAGCACCGAUGGCGAAGGCAGGUCACUGGGCCAUUACUGACGCUGAGGAGCGAAAGCAUGGGUAGCGAACAGG
rnacentral:rRNA from 1 species